rnacentral:rRNA from 1 species
CCUACGGGAGGCAGCAGUGGGGAAUCUUGCGCAAUGGGCGAAAGCCUGACGCAGCCAUGCCGCGUGAAUGAUGAAGGUCUUAGGAUUGUAAAAUUCUUUCACCGAGGACGAUAAUGACGGUACUCGGAGAAGAAGCCCCGGCUAACUUCGUGCCAGCAGCCGCGGUAAUACGAAGGGGGCUAGCGUUGCUCGGAAUUACUGGGCGUAAAGGGAGCGUAGGCGGAUAGUUUAGUCAGAGGUGAAAGCCCAGGGCUCAACCUUGGAAUUGCCUUUGAUACUGGCUAUCUUGAGUACGGAAGAGGUAUGUGGAACUCCGAGUGUAGAGGUGAAAUUCGUAGAUAUUCGGAAGAACACCAGUGGCGAAGGCGACAUACUGGUCCGUUACUGACGCUGAGGCUCGAAAGCGUGGGGAGCAAACAGGAUUAGAUACCCUGGUAGUCCACGCUGUAAACGAUGAGUGCUAGUUGUCGGCAUGNAUNCAUGUCGGUGACGCAGCUAACGACAUUAAGUACACUCCGCCGUCGGGGAGGGUACGGUCGGCGAAGAAGUUAAAACCCGAAAACGAAAGUUAGUACGGCGUGAGACGUGCCGACGGACGACGACGAGGGAGGAGG